rnacentral:rRNA from 1 species
CCCUUAGAGUUUGAUCCUGGCUCAGGAUGAACGCUGGCGGCGUGCCUAAUACAUGCAAGUCGAACGAAUCUCUUCGGAGAUGAGUGGCGAACGGGUGAGUAAUACAUAGGUAACCUGCCCCUGUGCGGGGGAUAACAGGAGGAAACUCCUGCUAAUACCGCAUAGCCAUGAGCACCGCAUGGAGCUCAUGCCAAAUAUCCUUUCGGGGAUAGCGCAGGGAUGGACCUAUGGCGCAUUAGCUUGUUGGCGGGGCAACGGCCCACCAAGGCAACGAUGCGUAGCCGGCCUGAGAGGGCGGACGGCCACAUUGGGACUGAGACACGGCCCAGACUCCUACGGGAGGCAGCAGUAGGGAAUUUUCGGCAAUGGGGGAAACCCUGACCGAGCAACGCCGCGUGAGCGAAGAAGGCCUUCGGGUCGUAAAGCUCUGUUGUAAAGGAAGAACGGCGCAUACAGGAAAUGGUAUGCGAGUGACGGUACUUUACCAGAAAGCCACGGCUAACUACGUGCCAGCAGCCGCGGUAAUACGUAGGUGGCGAGCGUUAUCCGGAAUCAUUGGGCGUAAAGAGGGAGCAGGCGGCCGCAAGGGUCUGUGGUGAAAGACCGAAGCUAAACUUCGGUAAGCCAUGGAAACCGGGCGGCUAGAGUGCGGAAGAGGAUCGUGGAAUUCCAUGUGUAGCGGUGAAAUGCGUAGAUAUAUGGAGGAACACCAGUGGCGAAGGCGACGGUCUGGGCCGCAACUGACGCUCAUUCCCGAAAGCGUGGGGAGCAAAUAGGAUUAGAUACCCUAGUAGUCCACGCCGUAAACGAUGGUCACUAAGUGUCGGGGGUCAAACCCCGGUGCUGCAGUCAACGCAAUAAGUGACCCGCCUGAGUAGUACGUUCGCAAGAAUGAAACUCAAAGGAAUUGACG